rnacentral:rRNA from 1 species
GGUCUCGCCUGCCCAGUGACUAAAUGUUAAACGGCCGUGGUAUCUUAACCAUGCGAAGGUAGCGUAAUCACUUGUCUUUUAAAUGAAGACCUGUAUGAAUGGCAAAACGAGGGCUUAACUGUCUCCCUUCCCCAGUCAAUGAAAUUGACCUCCCCGUGCAGAGGCGGGGAUAAACAUAUAAGACGAGAAGACCCUGUGGAGCUUUAGACUUAAAAUAACCACGUUAAACAAACUCCAACAUGAGAAAAAACCUAGUGAGCUUUAUUUAAAUGUCUUUGGUUGGGGUGACCGCGGGGCAAAACACAGCCCCCAUGAAGAUAGGGGAGAUAUCCCUAACACCAAGAGUUACCCCUCUAAGCAACAAAAAUUUUGACUUUAAAAAUGAUCCGGUUUUAACCGAUUAACGAACCCAGUUACCCCAGGGAUAACAGCGCAAUCCCCUCCCAGAGCCCCUAUCGACGAGGGGGUUUACGACCUCGAUGUUGGAUCAGGACAUCCUAAUGGUGCAGCCGCUAUUAAGGGUUCGUUUGUUCAACGAUUAAAGUCCUACGUGAUCU